CAAUAGCGUAUAUUAAAGUUGUUGCAGUUAAAAAGCUCGUAGUUGGAUUUCUGGUUGAAGCGACCGGUCGGGCGUUGAUUCGUCUGCACUGGAGUCGGUUUUGGCCACCCUCUAGGAAAGUGCGUCUGGUAUUAAGUUAUCGGGCGUAUGAUCCUGGUCUUUUACUGUGAAAAAAUUAGAGUGUUUAAAGCAGGCCUUCGCCUUGAAUACAUUAGCAUGGAAUAAUAAGAUAGGACUUUGGUCUAUUUUGUUGGUUUGCAGACCGAAGUAAUGAUUAAUAGGGAUAGUUGGGGGUAUUUAUAUUCCGAUGUCAGAGGUGAAAUUCUUAGAUUUUCGGAAGAUAAACUUAUGCGAAAGCAUUUACCAAGGAUGUUUUCAUUAA
rnacentral:rRNA from 1 species